CACACUGCUAACUGAUGAGAGACCAACUUGAAAGAGGGAGGAUCUGCCAAUAGCCAACGCCACGACUCCAGAUAUAUGGGAGUCAGGCUAUAGGGCAAAAACUGGGGUCCACAGAAUACUUGCUCAAUCAACUUUGCUCAUCCAAAAUCACAAAAAUCGCCUCAAAAAAUGUUGAUGAUAAUUUAAUUUUCUUCACUCUCCAUGAAGAUGUUAGAUAAUGCUCACUCUGGGCAAGGAAAAAAGACAGACUCAUCAA